rnacentral:rRNA from 1 species
GACGAACGCUGGCGGCGUGCUUAACACAUGCAAGUCGAACGGAAAGGCCCUGCUUUUGUGGGGUGCUCGAGUGGCGAACGGGUGAGUAACACGUGAGUAACCUGCCCUUGACUUUGGGAUAACUUCAGGAAACUGGGGCUAAUACCGGAUAGGAGCUCCUGCUGCAUGGUGGGGGCUGGAAAGUUUCGGCGGUUGGGGAUGGACUCGCGGCUUAUCAGCUUGUUGGUGGGGUAGUGGCUUACCAAGGCUUUGACGGGUAGCCGGCCUGAGAGGGUGACCGGCCACAUUGGGACUGAGAUACGGCCCAGACUCCUACGGGAGGCAGCAGUGGGGAAUAUUGCACAAUGGGCGGAAGCCUAAUGCAGCAACGCCGCGUGCGGGAUGACGGCCUUCGGGUUGUAAACCGCUUUCGCCUGUGACGAAGCGUGAGUGACGGUAAUGGGUAAAGAAGCACCGGCUAACUACGUG